UGGGUUUUGCAAAACCCUCUGCUUACUCUGACCACAGUAGAUUUCGCCUGAAGUCUAGAGACAAUGUGUGAUGGACGCAGGAAGAGACGAGACUUUAUCAACUUCCUGUAGCUGGAGCUACCAGCUGAGUUCCUCAUUUGAGGCUCGGUGGAGCCGGGGUGUUGGAGGAAGCACUGAGGGCCCCUCGCUGCCCCCAUCAUGGCAUCGGCUCUCAUGAUCCUCUUCCUUGGCUGCUGGCUGGCCGGGCAGAGCGGGGUGUCGGGAGACGCUGGUUCUAUUCCCACAGGGGGAACCAACCUGACUCAGCCGGGAAUGAUGCCGGCUCCUACCCGCCCAGGCAGCGCAGGACCGAGUAACAAGUCUGGGAGCAGGAAAUCACCAUCAACAACCCCACAGACAGAUGCUGGUUCUAUUCCUGCAGGGGGAACUGACCUAACUCAGCCAGGAACGACGCCGGCUCCCACCCACCCAGGCAGCGCGAAGCCAGAUGCUGGUUCUAUUCCCACCGAGGGACCCGGCCAAAUUCAACCUGGAGUGGCGCCGAUUCCCGCCUGCCCGGACAGUGCGGGCCCAGAUGGAUCAGAACCACCGAUGCUGGCACUUCCGAAUCCGACCUGUCCCACCAUCAUCGGGUUGAGCACGGCAGCCGCUCUCCUCCUCCUCCUCCUCCUCGUGGCCUUCGUCUGCUUCAGAAAAACCCGAGCCAAUUCGUGAACAAUGGGAUGCGAUCCUGACUGAGUCCAAAUUAGUAGCACAGAAUAUUAGCAUUUCGUUGGAGUUCUCCACCAAUCGCAGCUUACCGACCGAAUGGGAUGCCGAGCAGCAUUCAAGGGUCAACAGAGCAAUGAAGAUCUACUUUCUGCAACUGAACAAUUGCAGCAAUAGUAAACCAAAGGAAUCUCAAAAGAUCUCACUGACGAGGCCAUCUUCCUCAGACGAAUCUAUUCCACCAACUUCACAUUGGGUUGCAAGCCAAAGGAAUUGCUUCAAGAAAUAUUCGAACUUGGACUCUCCGGGGUGUUUCCUGAUAUCACAAUUGCAUUGUGUAUAUUACCUGUGGGAGAACACUUCAACCUCCCUGGCCACACAAUAGCAGAUCUUAAGGUGGCCAUCCUGUAGCAAAAAAACUUCAGGACCAGACUUCAAAGAGAAACUGCUGAGCUUCAGUUCAUCUG